rnacentral:tRNA from 1 species
GUCUCAGUAGCUCAGUUGGUAGAGCAAUUGACUCUUAAUCAAUGGGUCCAGGGUUCGAGUCCCUGCUGGGACA